rnacentral:tRNA from 1 species
GAGGGCAUAGCUCAGUGGUAGAGUGCAUUCCCAGAAUGCACGAGGUCCUGGGUUCAAUCCCCAGUGCCUCCA